rnacentral:rRNA from 1 species
AGAGUUUGAUCCUGGCUCAGAGUGAACGCUGGCGGCGUGCCUAACACAUGCAAGUCGAACGAGAACGGAUUACAGCUUGCUGUAAUUGUCAGCUAAGUGGCGCACGGGUGAGUAAUAUAUAGUUAAUCUGCCCCAAAGAAGAGAAUAAUUGUUGGAAACGACUUGUGAUGCUCUAUAUGCCUUUAUCACAUAAGUGAGCAAGGGAAAUAUUUAUAGCUUUGGGAUGAGACUGUACGGUAUCAGUUUGUUGGUGAGGUAAUGGCUCACCAAGACUAUGACGCCUAACUGGUUUGAGAGGAUGAUCAGUCACACUGGAACUGAGACACGGUCCAGACUCCUACGGGAGGCAGCAGUGGGGAAUAUUGCACAAUGGAGGAAACUCUGAUGCAGCAACGCCGCGUGGAGGAUGACACAUUUCGGUGCGUAAACUCCUUUUAUUAGGGAAGAUAAUGACGGUACCUAAUGAAUAAGCACCGGCUAACUCCGUGCCAGCAGCCGCGGUAAUACGGGGGGUGCAAGCGUUACUCGGAAUCACUGGGCGUAAAGAGCAUGUAGGCUGAUUAGUAAGUUGGAAGUGAAAUCCUAUGGCUCAACCAUAGAACUGCUUCCAAAACUGCUUAUCUAGAGUAUGGGAGAGGUAGAUGGAAUUUCUGGUGUAGGGGUAAAAUCCGUAGAGAUCAGAAGGAAUACCGAUUGCGAAGGCGAUCUACUGGAACAUAACUGACGCUGAGAUGCGAAAGCGUGGGGAGCAAACAGGAUUAGAUACCCUGGUAGUCCACGCCCUAAACGAUGCACACUAGUUGUUGCUAUGCUAGACAUAGCAGUAAUGCAGUUAACACAGUAAGUGUGCCGCCUGGGGAGUACGGUCGCAAGAUUAAAACUCAAAGGAAUAGACGGGGACCCGCA